UACGUAGGGGGCAAGCGUUGUCCGGAAUCAUUGGGCGUAAAGAGCGUGUAGGCGGCCCGAUAAGUCCGCUGUGAAAGUCCAGGGCUCAACCCUGGGAUGCCGGUGGAUACUGUCGGGCUCGAGUCCGGAAGAGGAGUGUGGAAUUCCUGGUGUAGCGGUGAAAUGCGCAGAUAUCAGGAGGAACACCAAUGGCGAAGGCAGCACUCUGGGACGUGACUGACGCUGAGGAGCGAAGGCGUGGGGAGCGAACAGG
rnacentral:rRNA from 1 species